rnacentral:lncRNA from 1 species
CAGGAACAGUCUUGAUUGUGGUAUCCAAACUUCUUCGGAGCUAGCUAAAUAUAAUGAAGGUGAGUACUUGGAUGAUCAGGAAAACGAACUGGAUGAGGGUGUGAGAUCCAUAGAGUUCGAGGCUACUGAAGGACAAGAAGAGAUUAUUGAUGAUGAGCAGCUCAGAAACAGCAAUGACAAUGAAGACGGGUACUUGGAAGAUCAGGAAAAUGGACCUGAUGAGGGUGCGAGAUCCAUAGAGUUCGAGGCUACUGAAGGACAAGAAGAGAUUAUUGAUGAUGAGCAGCUCAGAAACAGCAAUGACAAUGAAGACGGGUACUUGGAAGAUCAGGAAAAUGGACCUGAUGAGGGUGUGAGAUCCAUAGAGUUCGAGGCUGCUGAAGGACAAGAAGACAUUAUAGAUGAUGAGCAGCUCAGAAACAGCAAUGAUCAUGAAGACGGG